ACGAGAAAUGUCCUUCCGCUUUAAAUCGCGGGUCGUUGCUAGGGGCGCUUGGAGCCGGAGGUUUGUGGGGACAGUUUUUAUCCGGGGGGUGUGAACCGCCCUAAGACUGGCAGUCGAAGACCUUGUACGGAGAGUUGGGUGCCUGAACUCUGGUUUGACAGGCUCCUUGCUGGCUCCAGUAAUCCGCACCAGAGUACGUUGGGCUCGUUUUUCUCCGCGCCCUGUACUCGCCCACCCUUGCGCGGGAUUCCGGGCUCUUCCGGCUCUGGCGCGGUCUUCAAGGCUCUGGGUGGAGGGCUCCAGGACUCGCCGUCGGUGGUGAUGCGACGCGCUACAGUGGGUGUGAGCGCGCGCUGUGGGCGAGUCCAUUCGCUUCUGACUAGCUUGCCUAUCGCGUGGUCUGUUUGAGGAAAGUUGGUGCGUUUUAGUCAGGGAAGAAGUCUGCAAGUUGCCGCCUGGUCAAGGUAAUUAUACCAGCGCUUCCUUCUACUCCUUACCCUCCCCGCUCCUCCCCGCGCCCUUCCCGGUACUGGUUUUAGAUCUGCUCACGCAGAGCCUUGGAUCCGGGAUUCGUACGGCUCACUGCUUUUUCUGUUAUUCAUGGAGAAUUUAGCUCACGGUGCCGCCUUUUUGUGCUUCGUGCUCCCUGCUUCCCUUCCCUAAAGGGAUGCAAGGUGCUCUGCAGCCCCGACUAAUACCAGGUAUGGUGGUGAAUGUCUCACGAAAUCACUUGAAGUGGAAUCUCCUCUGGGCUUGGACUGAAAUAUCAGCUCUUCGUCGAUCUUGAACCUGCCAACUUUUCAUACUGGAACUUACAUCAUUGGCCCUCCUAGUUCUCAGGCCUUUGGUUUAGACUGGAACUACACAUCAGCUCACCUGGGUCUCCAGCUUGAUUACUGCAGAUCUUGGGACCUGCCUCCAUAAUCAUGUGAGUCAAUUCCUUAUUAUAACUCAAUUGCUAUAGCUAUCUCUUCUAUAUCUAUACUUACACCUUCAUCUAUAUAACUAUAAUGGUUCUGUUUCUCUGGAGAUCCCUGGCUAAUAAAGAUCUUGACACCAGCAGGGGAAUACAGCUGAAACAAAAAACUAAAAAUGUGGAAGCAGGUUUGAAACUGGGUAAUGGGUGGAGUUGGAAGAGUUUUAAAGUACAUGCUAGAAAUACGGACCUUAAGGACAAUUCUGGUGAAAUAUCAGAAAUAAGGAACAUGUUACUGAAAACUGGGGGACAGGUGAACCUUGUUUUAAAAUGGCAAAGAACGUUGCUGAACUGUGUUCUAGUGUUUCAUGGAAGGUAGAAUUUGAGCAAUGAAAUUGAAUAUUUAGCUGAGGAGAUUUCUAAGCAAAAUAUUGAAGGAGGGGCUUGGUUCCUCCUGACUGCUUAUUGUAAAAUGCAAAAGGAGAGAGGUGAAUUGAAGAAGGAGUUGUUAAGGAAAAAGGAACCAGAACUUGAUGAUUUAGAAAAUUCUCAGCCUAUCCAUAUUGCAAAAAAUAAAAAAGCAUGUUUUAAAGAGAACACCAAUGGCACAACUAGAUUAUCACUUGAUAGAGCUUAUGGGAUUACAUGAGCAGAAACAGAGCCAAUUGGAACUGAAGGGGAUGGAGACAAGACCAAAUGAAGGAAGGCUGUUGGGCUUACUGAAUUUGACAGGACAGAAUUAUAGAGCUGUUUGGCUGCGGGCAUGCACUCUUCUGCAAAAAGAGGGAGAAAUGACCCUGAAAGUUAUUGAGAGGGCCGCUGCCUCAGUUUCAACAGCCUUGAGAGUGGGACUACCCAGCAGAACCCUAGGGAUGAUGCUGCUGCCAACUGUACCUGGAAGGCAGAGCAUUGAACCAAGGAGGGUUCAAUGGAAUCUAAUGGAAUUUUUGCAUUGCUAAAUUUUGAACUUGCUUGGGACCAUCACCCCUUCCUUCUUAUCCUUUUUGAAAUGAGAAUGUGUAUCAUAUGCCUGUCUCACUGUGGUAUUUUGAGAGCACGUAACUUGUCUGAUUUCACAGAUUCACAGCUGCCUCAGGAUGAAUCAAUCAUACUUCCAAUCUCACUAUAUCUGACUUAGAUGAUAUUCAGAUGAGUCGAUGUUGGAAUGAAUUAAGAGCUUUGGGGCUUUUGGGAUGGAAUGAAUGUAUUUUGCAUGCAGUAAUGACACGAAUUUUAGGGGGGCAUGGGUGGGAUGUUAUGGACUAAAUGUCCCCCCCAUUCAUAUGUUGAAGCCCUAACCCCACAUGUGAUGAUAAAGAGACAACAGAGAGCUCUCUCUCUCUCUCUGUCCUAUAAGGACACAGUGAGAAGGUGUAUCAGUCUACGAGUCAGGAAAAGAGCUUUCACCAGAUCCUGAUCGUGCUGGCAUCCUGAUCUCAGACCUCUGGCCUCCAGAACUGUGAGAAAGUAAUUUUUUCUUGUUUCAGUCAUCCAAUCUAUGGUAUUUUGUUAUGGCAGCCCAAGCUGACAAAGACAGAGCUUAUAGUAAGCCCUAGUGAGAAAAUCACAGUAUAGUCCUUAGGACUCUGGAGCAAGGCCAUGCCAUCCACAACAGAGAAUUAUACACAUUUUAAGAACCAGCUACUAGCAAGAACUAGAUACUGAGCCUUGGUGGAGACAGAACACUUAACCGUAGUAUACCAAGUAACCAUGUGUCCAGAACCACUUGUUAUGGACUGAAUUCUGUUGGUUCAGAUGGACAGCAGCAUCUGUUAUAUGAUGGAAAUGGUACAUAUGGGAUGGAGAUCAAACACAAUUGGGGCACUUGUAAGAUGCAUGCUCAGGUAGCCCAGAUCCCCAUGUAACCCACCACAGCUGCACCAACGCCAUGAACAGCUGAAGGAAGAAGGGUAAAGCCUAAGUUUGGUUUAUAGAUGAGUCAGCUUAGUAUGUGGGAGCAAACCAAAAUUAGAUAGUGGCUGCAUUAUAGUCACAUUCCUGAGAGUCUUUGAAAAACAGCAAAGAGUGAAAAUCUUCCCAGUUGGUAGAGUUACAAGGAUCAUCCCUGAUCAUCUGCUUUGUGUAUAAGGAGAAGCAGACUAAAGUAAG